rnacentral:rRNA from 1 species
AGAGUUUGAUCCUGGCUCAGGACGAACGCUUGCGGCGUGCCUAAGAAAUGCAAGUCGAACGGGCACCGGAGCUUGCUCUGGUGUCAGUGGCGAACGGUCGCGUAACACGUAGGCAACCUGCCCCGAAGUGGGGGAUAACAGCCCGAAAGGGUUGCUAAUACCGCAUGUGGCCCGGGUCUCGCAUGGGACCUGGUCUGAAGGGUCUUCGGACUCGCUUGGGGAUGGGCUUGCGGCCUAUCAGGUAGUUGGUGGGGUAACGGCCUACCAAGCCGACGACGGGUAGCUGGUCUGAGAGGAUGGUCAGCCGGAUUGGGACUGAGAUACGGCCCAGACUCCUACGGGGGGCAGCAAUUAGGAAUCUUGCGCAAUGGGCGAAAGCCUGACGCAGCGACGCCGCGUGGAGGAUGACGGGUUUCGGCCUGUAAACUCCUUUUGACAGAGAAGAAGAAUGUGACGGUAUCUGUCGAAUAAGCCCCGGCUAACUACGUGCCAGCAGCCGCGGUAAUACGUAGGGGGCGAGCGUUGUCCGAAGUUACUGGGCGUAAAGCGCGCGUAGGCGGGCCUUUAAGUUCGGGGUGAAAGGUCCAGCGCUCAACGCGGACAGUGCCCUGGAUACUGGGGGGCUUGAGUGUGGGAGGGGGUAGCGGAAUUCCGGGUGUAGCGGUGAAAUGCGUAGAUAUCCGGAGGAACACCGAUGGCGAAGGCAGCUACCUGGCCUGACACUGACGCUGAGGUGCGAAAGCGUGGGGAGCAAACAGGAUUAGAUACCCCCGUAGUCC